GAAGCACAUCCAGACUGAAGGAGAAGAAAUCAGUAGCUCGCUUUGUAAGGAAAUCUUGGAAAUGCUUAAAAAAAUAGAAGAUUUGACUCUAGAACUUCUGAGGGGCGUUGUAACAAAGGUGGCGAAGAAGCACCUUCAGUGUUACUUCCAGUCAAACAAACAGCAAUUUGUGCUGUUGAUUGAUUCAGUGAGUAGGAUGUUUCCACGUCUGGAGAACUGUGACGAAGUACGACAGGUAAGUUCAAAAUUGAAAUCUAAAACAUCAACUCUUCCAGCUGUGUAUGUGUUUAGGUUCUUCUGCAAAUGCCUCUGUUGGUCUUUGUGUCUCAGACAGUGACUCUAGAAGUCUGCAAGAUCCUCGUCCAUAGUUACAUCAAGUAUCUUCUAAAAACAAAGGUGAAGAAACUGCAGCGGUGCUGGAACCCUGAUGUCGGUGAAGCAGUGAGUAAAGAUGCUGGCUGGUUUCACGCCAUCAUGUCGGACCUGGCUCCCGGCGUGCAGGAGUGGAGCAAUAAGAUGAAGAAAAUCGAGGAGGUGCUGGACUGCAGCGACAUCAACGCUCUGAAACUGAUCGUUGCUGCAAUGCAGAAGGACAGUUUAAUAGCGAGUGAGGACCUGCACAGGCUGCUGCGAUGGAAGGGUCUUUCCAAACGGGACGUCAGGGAGGUGCUGGACGCCAUUUGUGACGACUACAACCCCGGAGCAUCAUCCAGAGCCUGGUGCUCAUGUCUGGGGAGCUGAAGAGGGUCCUUCUCAGAUGAUCUCUGAUCUCAGAGAUCCUGUAAGAAUCCUGUUACUGAUUAGUUCUCAGGACCCAAUGAAAGGUGUUUUUGAAUAAGCCUCAACACCUCCAGGUCCGACUGCAUUGCCUGAGUGAUGUCCUUCAGGUUGAGGAACAGAUAGCUUUUUUAUGUGCUGUAUUUUAAAAAUCUGCUCAACUGCUGUUGCAGUACUGAUUUGUUUUUGGUGAUUGGUCCGUUUGCUGCUCUUAAUUUAUUCGCUUGUACCUUUUCUGUUUGGGAUGUUUGAACUUGUUCAUGAACAAAGCUGUAAGAAGCAGAGAGGAUUUGUUCUUGUUUUCAGUUUAGGAUUUAAACUGAGCUGCUCCUCUGUUUGUGCACUGGAGGACUCUUCGUCACUUUAAUGAAGUUGUUCAGGUUUUUAUGUAUUUCUUCAUAUGAUUUGUUAAGACAUUCCUAGGAUUUAUAAGGUUAAGCAUCAAACUGUCUGUUUCUGGUUCAUGCACCACAAAACAGAUCUUCUCCUGUAAGAGCUGCCUUGUAUUGAAGGUCGAAUGUUAACUCAUGAUUUGCAUGUUUACGCUCUCUCUCUUUAUUUACAGUUGAUUGUCCUGCUUUGGUGGAUUUCAUUUACUUCUGUAAUAAUUAAUAAUCCAUUCAUUGGUGAUUCUUCGUUACUAGGGAGCAAGUUACACUUUUCUUAUUCUGUCAUCUGUGUAAUAAAUAAAACCUAAUUUUAUUAAAUGUUGGUGUU
rnacentral:lncRNA from 1 species